rnacentral:rRNA from 1 species
CCUACGGGAGGCUGCAGUGGGGAAUAUUGCGCAAUGGGCGAAAGCCUGACGCAGCGACGCCGCGUGAGGGAUGAAGGUCUUCGGAUCGUAAACCUCUGUCAGCAGGGAAGAACUAUCACUGUUCUGAUCGGCAGUGAGUUGACGGUACAUACCAAGGAAGUACCGACUAACUCCGAGCCGGCAGCCGCGGUAAGACGGAGGGUGCGAGAGUUAAUCGGAUUUACUUGGCGUAAAGGGAUCGUUGGCGUUAUGUCAAGUCAAAUGUGAAAUUCCCGCGCUCAACGUGGGAACUGCCUGUGAAACUGGCAAACUGGAGUGCGUGAGAGGAUAGUGGAAUUCCAGGUGUAG